UGGAAACGUUCUCACUGUAAGUGUGUUUGGGAAAAAUGCUGCUUCAGUGGUGUUACAGAAAAACCCUGUUGAGUUUCAGAGCCUCCUACAGCUGAUGUACACAGGUAUUACACAUGCUGAUUACAAGCGUGGUCUUUGGUAUCCUUAGGUAAAUGAGAUUACAGCCACAUUCAGAGUGUGUCUGUGAGAGACUACACCUUGCCUCGACUACAGCUUUUGAAGCGAGGCAUUGAUUUCUGCCACAUUUGAUGGAGAAAUGAACACAGUUAGUGCAGCGCGUUUAAGUUCUUACGUGCUUAGUGAAAACAAAUGCAGGUGGAAGGGGAAAAACGUAAAGGUAUUCUUUCUGUGUGCCCUAUCAAUGGUUGACUUGCAAGCAAGAAAAUCCCCCCAGAAAAGGGUGACUCAAUAGGCACUCCGGUAGGUAUAGCUGAGCAGUUGGUUUGUUGGAAGAACGGGAGGAAAGCGGUGUCAGCUCCCCAAAGCAGAGCCCUACCUGAGCUCGUGCCCUGACUAUUGUUUGCUCCUUAUAUUUUAUUUCUCUAUCAGUUGAUAAAAUGGUCUGAUUAGGAGAUGAUGAAAAAUUGAAAUAGGUGGGCAUACAGUAAGUUCCUGUCAAGGUAAUUGGGAGAUGAAAGUGAAACACAAGAAGCCAACCCUUCUCAACAUUGGCAUAUGUCUUCUAAAAUACAGGAAAUCCAUUAAAUCCCUCCAAAUCGUGUUGGCUGCCGGAGGUCAGAUCAGUCACUGUACAUCUGAGGUGUGCCUGUGUUGGUUUUUUUCAGCUGUAGGUUGAUAAAGGACCUGUCAGUUAGUGAAAUGCAGUUGAUUCAUUGUUCUUGUACUUUUAUAGCUAAUUCUUUUUUAACACCAUGUGUGUUUCUGAAGGAGAAACCUUCAAAAACGGCAGGACUUAUUUUAUCUGCCUCUCAGUGGCUUUUGGGAGGAUACAGCACGUGCCAUCCCUUUUUGUGCCUCUGUACAAACGCUGCUGAAGUAACAGGCAGGUCACCCUUUCCCGUGUGCUGCCUUCCUUCAAGCUGCUGGCAUUAGGAGGGUGCUGGUUAAUAGCUCUGCCUUUAAGCUUUAAUUAAUUCAGUUCCUUCGGCUGCUACAUGCCCUUCUUAAAACUUGGCACCGCUUGAAUCUUUUAGCAAACCUGAUAUGAGACGGGCAGUGUGCGAAUAGCAGAAUUUGAGCACAGCUCCUCGUGACCUCAUGGUCAGUUCUGGGUAAAAAAAGAAAUCUCAAAUGGGAAUAUUUUCUCUGUCAUUGAACACUUUUUUUUUUUUUUGGCUGUGCAAUGCUUUUGCCAAGAAAUAAAGCAUAAAACCUCACCCUGGAAAUGCUUAGAAAAACAAAUCAGUUGCACUUGCUGCUUGCACUAAUGAAUGAAGGGCUGCCAAAUCGCUGCUAGAGCAGAGGCCCCACUGCACAGAGGCACAGCGCUGGAAGCAGUGCUUGAGGACACUGUGAGGGUGUGCCUCAAAGGAAGUGACAGUGCCCACAGAACUGAGGGCAGGGCCUCAAUGCAGGGACAGUCUGCUUAGCUUUCUCCUUAGCAGUGAAGUGCGUAAUGAAUCUAAGCAGGAAGACGAUCCCAGUUAGCUGUGCAGCAGUAGUAUAAUUUCUUGUACUUAAUUAUUUAAAGGAAACUGUAUAAUGGGUCUUCGGUAUCAUGUGACCCACUAAUCAAUCCAUUCACUUUUGCAUAAUGCAUGGGGCAUCAAUGUUAUUCCACUCCAAGAUCUCUUAGGAAAAACUUGCCAGUCUGCUCACUGCUCCUCUGCAGUGCGAACACAAACACACAGCUUGCUGUGCCAUUUGCCUUCUGUGUGUACUCAGAGCCAGCUGAAAGUGUUCCCAGCAAUUAGCAUGGAAAGAACAAAAAAGAAGGCUGCAUGCUGCUACCUGCCAGCCACAUCUGAAGGGGUGCCCGACCUCUGGGUGUGUGGGGGGCUCCUUUGGCAGUGUAAGGAACGUUAGACCCUGACUGUGAGGUCCUAAGGAGGAUAUCAAGGGCAGAUGGAGUGUUUUUCAUUACUGGUGGUGCUGUUUGAUUAUGAAUUUGUAUUACUUUUCAUGAAGGCAUACUGGAAAUAGGUAAAUAAACAUAUUUGACUGGAUAUACAUUACUUGAUGUUUGUGAAGCACUGACCAAACUUUCUGUACUCGCUGGUUAGCUUGAAAUAGUCAAAAUCACGUUUAAGGGUCUGAAGCAGAGAACCGCUGCCUCAUCCUGACUGUCCUGGCCUUGGACAACCAUUCCUCAUAUCGUGGGUGCAUCUGCUUUGCUGCUUUGUAUGAGCCUUUGUGGGGAGGGAGCGGUUCUGCUUCUAAGUGGAUUUUUAUUGCCUCUGCAUGUACUGCCCAAAUUCUCAGUCAGAAUAGCACUGCUCCCUUCAACAUCUGUCAUUUUUUACCAGUUGAAAGAUGGAUGUCCUGCCUACCGUGGCAUGUACACUUAAACUUACAUCUGCUUGAAAAAGAGCGUGUGAAAGUGUUACAGAGAAGGGAGGAGACCCAAUAAAAACAGACUGUUAAAUCAUUAUCAGUCAGCUCUAACCAAGAGCCCUGGGCAGUGUGGAAUUGAAGAUAUUUCAUCUUUGAGAGAAUGACAGUAGGUCAAGGGAAGGGUUAACCUCGAGGUCUGUUGUGUAGGUCAGCUGGACAGUGAUCAGUGCUCAAAAAAGGGACUUCAGGAGGUUUCCAAACUGGCUUUGAGAGGCUGUUUUCACAUUCCUUCUCGACUAUUUACAUUCUAUCCAGGAACACAAAUGCUUGGAUAGUUCCCAAAUAGGCCACCGGAACACUUGGAUGCCCUCCAGGAGGCAAAAACUCUCAGCUGCUCAAGUGGGGUAAAUCAGUACGGCAUCACUGUAGCCAGUCUCAGUCUCCUUCCUUAAAGUGCUUUGGAACUGACAUUGUAACAAGGUAGGAAAUAAUGCCAGUGGGCAGUGAUGAGCACUCUCAGUUUCUGUUGGAGAACAUUGUGUCUGUUUGCUGUGGUGGUUUCCUGCUGUCAGAGUUUCCCAAAGUUUCAUUCUAAUUCAGCUUUAUCUUCCAUCAAGAAAUUACAUUUGAAAGCAAUCAGCAUCUCUGAUACCUUCCCAUAAUAUAUAACUCUGGAAAUUACAGUGAGACACCAGCAGAACUGCACAGUGCCUUGUUUUCCUUGUUGUGUCGUGUCCAAAACACUGAUAGUCUGGAAGCAGCAGUGAAUUAAGCUGUACAAGUGCGAUGUGGGAUCAUGUGCUAGCUAAUGUCUGCUCAUCUGAAUGUUCUUCCUGGGAACUCUUCUUUUUCUGUGUGGACUUGAAUCAGCAUCAAAUGUUGGUCAGGACUUAGUAAUACGUAGUUCUGGUUGAGGCUGGGUGAACAUCUGUCUCUCACACAGACACUGCAUGCUUCUGGGUUUAUGCUGUUACCAUUUUGCUGUUUUCUUCCUGAUCAGUAACUGCUUAUCAAAUAAGAAGUCUCUAUUACAUACAUUAAUGCACUGCCAUUAUUUAAUCAAUGAUAACCUCAUAAGCGUAUCAGUGAUAAUUUUCACCUCUGAAAAUGUGCAGUGGGUUUAGUGGCUGCAAAGGAAAAGUGAAGAGAAAGGAUAGAAGAAGGAUGGAUUUCUCUGCAUUCUUUUUUAAUAAUGAUAAUGAAGGAGAAAUCUUUCCUACAUCAUACAAAGAUAUUCAGCUCAGAAAAGAGGUGAAUUAAACAGUUUUAUUGAGGUUGCUUACAGUCUUCUGUGGCAGCAGUUGUACCAGAAGUGUUGUCUUUAAAAUAAAGUUGGUAAGGCAUCCCUUAUAAGAAGAAAAACAGAUUAAUGACAAUGGCUGAGUGUAAGGAUCAGGUUUUUGUCAUGGCCCCUCCAGCAAAACUGCCCUAUUUUGUGUUGCAGAAAGCAAUUCUUGAGAAUUCUGACAAAUGGGCCUCUGAUGGCUUUUGUGAAAAAUAGUCUGAAAAUAACCAUUUGUGCACUGUGUCAGAGUACAUUUUCUGACUGAGAUCUGCAUGAGCAGUGGUAGAAAGUCUGUUAAUUUAGUAAUAGGCUUGAAUGAACGGCGCUCCAGCAGAGAGGCAUUGUGCAUGGUGUGGCUGGCAGGGAGCACAAAGAUAUCCUCUUCAGUUCUUACCCCCUCCGUGCAGGGCCGACUCAGCCUGCCAUUGGGCAGAGAAGUACAGUGCAGUUGUUACCCUCCUGACACUGCAGUUCUGUGUAAUGUUUUGUAUGCUUUCAUUCAAGAGGAAGUGAGGGUACUGCCUGAGCAUACACAGCAGGGGAAGAUGCUGAGCUGCUCUUCCUAUGAGCUGUCACAAUAUUUGCAUUGCAGCUCAAUAGCUUUCCUAUUGUACUGGAAAUUUCACUCUUUAGUAAGAGAGGAAAAAUUGCAAAAGUGACUCUAUACUAACAGCAUUAGUCUUGCAGAUGUAAGCUGUACGAGGUCUCUCAUUUUGAGAUGUGCAUUUAGGAUUGGGGCAGAGACAGUUUUUGACAGCUCUAUGGAAUUAAUUCUUCUUUAUGACAGUGUGUUUUACUGCUUGCUGUAUGUAAUAGUUUCUUUCAUUGCCACUUAUGUCCUUUGCAGUGAAUGAAAUUCGCCUCUGUAUGACAGUACACUUUGAGUGUCGGUGGCUUUCAUUUUGUCUAUUAAAGAAGAUAAUUGUGAGGAGCAGAUCAGACCUGAAGGAGGGCUUCUGAACUGAACCCAUUUCAGAGAGGGAAAACAGAGCUGUCAAAACUUUGACUUUCUAAUUCCUAAAGAGCCGUUAAUUCAGUCGGCUGCAUGAUCUACUGGGAGUAGAAAUGAAACUCCACUUGCAUGACCUCUGGUGUCAAUCAUUGUGGGAGGCAUCUGCAUUCAUAUUGUCAAUGCACAAACUUUCUUUACUUCCUGAAGCAUGAAAUCACCUUUCAGAUGGAGUAAGAAAUAUAAUUGCCCAUUCUUGAGAGGUGUAGCAGUUUGGUCCAGGGCUUCAGUUAUACAGAGAGAUGUUUGAACGCUCUAUCCUGACUUGAGCAUCAAGCAGUCUCUUGGAAGCCGCCUGCUUUGCAGGCCAAAGUUUCACCACUUGUCUAUCCCUAGGAACACACUUAAGGGACAUGGAUAUAAUUAGAGCUUGAAGCCUUGAAGAAAAUUUAUUCACUGUUUUUCAAACCAGAAACUACAGCCCACAGUUAGGUUUGCAGGGAGGCUCUGGUACUGGGGGGCACGACCUGGUUACCUGUUGUUUGACAGAACAUGGAGAUAGUUGAGCAUAACCCUUUACAUGCAGAGAUGGCAUGACAGAGAAAGUGAGCCCCAAGGAAUCUGAACUGCAGGAUAUGUUUUUACUGUUUUUCCUAUAAAUGUUGUUCCUUCCUAUGCCAGUUGCUUACAUGGGUUUUCGCCAUGUUGCACUGCAGUUAUGCUGAUCAGGCUUUAUGCCAGGUGUAGGAUGGCGUGCAUCUCACAUGACAUGUUUGUUAGGUCUUGCUGUAUUUCUGAAUUGAUAGCACAGCUUCUGUUGUCGUCUUGACAUACUGAAGAUGCUGGCAUGCUACCCAGCCCUCCUCAAAUAUCUCCGUAUGUGUCUUAGAGUAAUAUAUGCCAAGUUUAGUGUGAUGACAUGUUCUGCAUCUCCUUACAAAAGACCUAUUGUUCCAAGUAAGAUAGUUCUGGUUGUAUGCUGAUCAGCACAUUGAUUAACCUGCUUAAAAUGCCACCUGAAGCAGUGUAGAUUAUCAUCAAUACCAACCAUGAAUUUAGCCCAGAUGCUCUGAACUUGUAUCUGAUAUGCCUCAUGUUUCAUACGUUCCACAGACAAAACCAGCAGCCCAUCAAAGCUGCCAUUUCCCGUGAGCCGGGGUGAGGGAAAGCAGCCAAGUGAGCUCACACUGCAGCCGUAACUCACCUUUCAUGGAGUGCUCAGUCCGGCACCUCUCACUGCUCACGACUUUAAGAUGCAGGAAUCCUUCAGCCAGACCCCAGGUGUGCACGCUGGUGACCCUGCUGAUCUUUUCUGUACUUCAGUGUCAUCGGUUCCUUUUCUUUCCCCCAAAAGCCAUCUGUUCAUCCUGGCCAGCAGGAAAGCAAAGCAACAAAAAGUGCCUUGGCUUAGUAAGUAGGGCACCUUUCAUCAUGUGACACAAAGCUGCUUUUUUCUUUUUUUUUAGACAUUCUGCUUUGGGAACGUGAACAUGCUAUAGAGAGCACUUAUGUGCAGAAACCUCUGCAAGGAGCCCUUCUUCUUAUUGCACUUACCGCUGACUACAGGUACUGCAAGAAGGGCUAUUCAAGCUGUGCCUUGUUCCAGUGGAGAUGCCCAGCAUGUUGGCAAGUGCACCUCCUGGCUUAGAAAGACCUGUAAAUACAUAAGGAUAAAUGAAUAUAACCAUAACAUAGAAUUACAUGCCUCAUCUCUGCAUGCAUUGAGAAAUAUAGGGCUGGCCCUUGGAACUUCCUCCAGUGAGGCAUCUAAGUUUGUCUGGGGAGGGAGAGUGUAACAGAAGGAAUAUGUAAAGGAGCAAGAAUGAGACUUCUUUCAGCUUUUGAACAUCUUUCCCAAGAAUUUAUAGAUAAAUUGACUAAUAUUCAGUGGUAAAAAGAAAGAGUAAACUGACUGGUGUGCCUCGGGGCUGCCCUCAAAACGAGAUGUGUCAUCUGCAUGGCACACACCGGCUCUGUCCAUCUCCCGCGUGGCUGGAGGGCAGGCUGCAGAGCUCAGGAUGCUUUCUGCCUUUGGGUUUGUGUCUGGAAGGGCUGACUGCAGCACACUGUGCUGCCCGCUCUGCUGCUGGGCUUGUCAGAACAGGCACUGUGCCCACCUUUACUGGGAUCUGACGGGAACGUGAUGUGACUGUGUGUGCGAGCGCAGGGCUGCUGGCUGCUGACAUCUCCCAGCAGGGAGGUGGAAAUCUCCAUAAGCUAGAGCAUAGCUGUGAGCUAUCCCAGAUGUAUUUCCACCACAGCAAUCUGCACUACAAUGCUGUCACUGCUGUGCUUGGGGGUGGAACGAAGGUCUCUGGGUGCACAGCGUUCACCUCACUGGAGUUUGUUCUUUGUAAUGCUGGAGCACAGCCUGGGAGAGCAGCGCUGCUCUGUGAUGCAUUCCGGUGUCACUGCUGUACUGAGGGUUAGUGCUACAUAGGUGACAAGUGUGUGUGUGUGUGUGUGUGCACGUGCUCUAAAUACAGCACAAGGCAGGGAUUGUGCAGGAUUACAUGGUUCCUGAAAGUAUAUUCCUGACCAGAAGCAUUCAUUGGGAUCAUAAAUCUUAAAAAAACACAAAUGUGGUUCAGGAACCUGCAUUGGUGCUCCUUGUCAGACUUUUCAGCUGGUUUUCUGUGUUGCUAGUUUUCAUAAUGCCAGAUGUGAGGUCCUUUAUCAGUAAGAAAGCAAGAAUUUGGCAAGGACCAAAGGCACACUUGUUAGUACGCAUUGAUCCAGACUUGCUCUGGAUAUUGGGUGUGAAUGAGGGAAGUCAAAGGCCCUGUAGUCAUUCUCCUGUAGCUACAAAAGCUUAAAGAUGUUUCUCUGAAGAUCACAAUUCUGAAUGUUAAAAUCCGUGGAGAGGAGGGGAAUGCUUAGCUGUAGCUUUUUGAAUUAGCAGCCAAUAUUGUGUGCUUAUAAUAAAGUCUCACUGACAAAGCUAGAAACAUUUCUUAAGCUCCAGAUGGCUGCUUUUCUUUAUGACUUGCUUUAGGGCGCAGACUUUGGUUUCAUAUAUUUUGAUAAUCUAUCCUGAUCAUUGAACUAAUACUCAUAGUUCUGCAUGCACUGCAACAGCACCCUUUGAGAAGCUGCAGCACGUGGCUCGCUAGGGGAAAUUUCGAAGUUAAGAAAAUGUCUGUAGAUGGUACCUCUCGUUUCUUAGGUUCUGUUAGGGCUGAGGCCUGUAACUUUGAUAAUGUCUCUUUAAACAUUUUGAGUGAUGAGAUUCUCAUUCUAUAGUCUUUCAGUGGAUGAAGAAUAGUCUUGAAACAUUUUCUGAAGCCCCUUCUAAAGACCAUCCUUUAUGUUGGAUCGAGUUCUAAACCAAGAGUUUGUUGGAUAGAAAAUACAAAGGGCAAAGCUGCACAAAUGUUUUAUGGCGAUGACAGAGAAGGUGGGAGCUGAGCAUCCCAAGCUCUGGAGCUGCUGAGCAGUUCUCACAGCAGGGUUUGCACCAGUGGAUUCACUACAGUGUAAUUGCAGCAUCUUCAGAAUCAGAAUAUCACAUAAAACAAGUAUCCAUGUAGAAGGAGGAAAUAAGGAGCAUUGUAGGACAGAGUACUUUCUGCAGUAGCACAAACAUUGGAAAGCUGGGUCCAAAUACACAGAUUAUUAGAAAACUUCUCUUUUUCAUACUGGCCUUGCUGGUAUUGUCUGCAUUUACAUUCCUGUGGGCAAAAGAAACAGCUGAGUGUGACUCAUGGGCAGGGUAGUCUGAGUGUGGGCUUAUCCCAGGGGGCUUAUUUAGAGACGUCUGUGUUGCUCCAACUUCAGGAAAGCACUUGGAAAGAAAGUGUGAAGAGUGUGUGGUUUACCCGAUUGAUCUGUGUGUACAGUUUAAUGCUGGAGUUUUUCACUUAGUAUUCACUUCACAAAUGAGAGAUGUGAAAUGUUUAGAUUAAACGAAGCAGAAAUUAAAAAAAUAUAUUGAUUCUCUCCUUUCCUUCCAUCCUUCUUACUAAAGGUCUUUGGCUCUCUUGCAUUAGUGACUGUGGUAUAUAUUGGCAUUUACGCUAAUGAAGAGCCCACGAUGUUUCCCUAAAUGUUCUGCUACAAGUUCCUUGUUAAUAGCUUCCAUUUAUCCAGCAAAAGAAAAACUGCAAUCUCCAACAUGUUGUGCAAUAAACCAAGGGCACAGAAGGGGCGUGAAAGUCCAGUCUUUCCCUCACCAUGCUGUCCUUUAUUCCAGCACAGUCAAAUACUUUGUACAGGAAGAUGAAACCUGAACUGCAGGUCAAAAUGAGCUUGCCCAAGGAUCUGUGCUUGUUCCGCUCUAGAGAUGGAAAUAGACAGAAAUGAAAUCUGAGUGAGGCCCUGUGGCUUUUGUAGCACAGCAGUUAGUGGUUUAUUCCAUGAACAGAAAGGGAGACAAUAGCCUGAUCUUCCCCCUCUUCGUGUACCAGCAAGACUUCAGGAUGGCAGUCUUUGAUGAGAUUCUGAAACAUCAAAUCAGGAAAUGAUGGGAAUAAGCUGAUUUCUUCCUGAGCUAACACUGAGAGCAGCAUUGCAUGUCUGAUGGAGAACAGCAAACAAGUGAGAGAGCUUGUUUUCUGGAGAACGUUCACUUCACCGUCCUGAGCAUGAGUGGCUUCUACUGGCAGUGCUGCUGAAGAGCUGCGCAUCAGUAAUUCUUUGACAUGCAGAAUUACAGCUUUCCAGCGCCAGCUCAAACACCGAGGAAUCCCUGCCACCAUAAAGCUAUAAUUGCUGAAUUAAUAACAGCGGGUUCUGGAGAGUGACUGCACAGACUCUCUGACCCAGGUUCAUAAAUAGUAACAUCCCUUUGUCCUGGGAAAAGUUCUUAUCUUUUGUUUCUCUUUGUCAUUCCCCUCAAUCUCUGUCCUCUUGAGGCUGAAGGUUUGUCUGAUGUCCCGAGCACUGCCCUGGUGUUCCAGCGGCACCAACAGAGGCUGACUGAUGGGCUCCAGUUCAGACAUACGAAGGGUGGCAAGCAGAGGCAGCGUUCUGAGGUCCAUUUAAUUAAUCUGCAGACCGCAAGUCCCUCAGAACUGGAUGUCCUCAUCCCCAGGGCUGUCAGCCACACCGUGUCCUGUCCCUGCUGGCUGCACAGCAACGGUGGUGACACAGCUGCAUGGCUGCGGAGAUGGAAGCCCAACGUGUGUCAUCUCUGAGGCUGCUCGAGUUCCUCUUCAGCGCUUUGCGGGGGAAGACCAGAGAAAUAAUAAGGCUUUGUAUGAGUGAUAAGACUGUAUCAUGAUGGCUGUUCGCUUCCUAACGGAUGGGACAGAGAUGCAGGUAGGGUGGAGGGGCCACAAAGGCAACCGAUGGAGAAGUUUCUUUGGAGUCUGCUGUUCUUUUUUGCUUCAUUUAUAUUUCAUUAGGCAUGAAAUUAUGUUUAUAAUUGUAUUAGACAACUGUGUGAGAUAUUAGAUCAUAAGCCUAGACUGAAUUAAAGCCAUUUUUAAUUAGUUAUUGAUUUAUUCUGUUUUGUCAUUUUUAAUGAAAUGAUGCCCCUGAAUUCAAAGCGCUGGUGCAGGUGUGUUAUCUUAAUUCAUAGAACUAGCA
ensembl:lncRNA